GCCUCCAUGCCCAGCUCAUAAUGAUUUUUCUAGCUACAGAGAAAACUGAAAAGAAUACUAAGUUUCAUGGUAAUAAUAUUAUGUAAGAGACAGGUUCUAGUUUAAAAGCUUUGUCUUGGGCCGGGGAUAUAGCUCAGUGGCAUAAGCGCGUGCCUGGCAAACACAAGGUCCUGAAUUGGAUUCCCGGUACCCGCCCCAAAAAAAGUUUUGUCUUUUGUGGGCUUCUCUUGACAACAAAGCUAAAGAACGCACUUCCGUUAAUGUAACCCCAUACAAAUUUCUAAUGCCGCUUCCUGUAUUUGUUCUGCUUUGUUUUUGAUAAAAACUAAAAAUCACACAUGGGAUGGCAAAUGAAUCAAGUGAUUUUGAAGGGGGUUAAAAUUAAUCUGAGAACUUCAACGUCUUCCUGUCUAGCAGUGCAAUAUGUAGCGUAUCUACAGAAUUACACAGAGUGAGACCAAUUAGUUCUGGAAUAGCAGAGAUGACAUUUUUAAUGACUGUUUCUCUGGACUUUUGUUGACAGAUUUUAUAUAUGUACGUAUAUGUGUUGUUGUUACACAUCGUUCUGAAAGUUCUCUUGUGAGUGUCUUUGCCAGGUAUGAUUAAAAGAAACUAUGAAUGGUACUUUUGAGUGCCAUCACAAAAAGGCAAGUUCCUAAAAACAUGACGGUGUGUCUUCAUCCACCUAAUUCACUGGAUCUGAAACAUGUGACUUCUGGUUUUUCCCCAAGGUCAAAAUGACCAUGAAAGGGAAACAUUUUGAAUAGAUUCAGGACAGCAAGGCAGUUAUGACAGUGCUACAAUAGGCAUUCAUGAAAGAGGGCUUCCAGAACUGCUUCAGAAAGUGGAAAGAAUGACGAGUCACCAUUGUUACUCCUAGAAAGCCUGAUGUGAAAGACAAAACUGUUAUCAGUACUACUGAACCUGAAGCUUGUGUGAAAGAUGAAAA